GACGAACGCUGGCGGCGUGCUUAACACAUGCAAGUCGAGCGGUAAGGCCCUUUCGGGGGUACACGAGCGGCGAACGGGUGAGUAACACGUGGGUGACCUGCCCUCAGCUCUAGGAUAAGCCUGGGAAACCGGGUCUAAUACCGGAUAUGACUCCAUGACGCAUGUUGUGGGGUGGAAAGCCUUGUGCGGCUGAGGAUGGGCCCGCGGCCUAUCAGCUUGUUGGUGGGGUGAUGGCCUACCAAGGCGACGACGGGUAGCCGGCCUCGAGAGGGCGACCGGCCACACUGGGACUGAGACACGGCCCAGACUCCUACGGGAGGCAGCAGUGGGGAAUCUUGCGCAAUGGGCGAAAGCCCUGACGCAGCGACGCCGCGUGAGGGAUGACGGCCUCGG
rnacentral:rRNA from 1 species